AUGGCGAGGCCCGAGGAGAGCUGGGCGCGGAACACGUCCCCGGGGGACGACGCGUCCACGAGCCACGCGCCCCACCCGGAGGGCGCCUCGCCGGACUUGCUGCGGAACACGCCGUCCAACAUCGCUAGGCUCGAGGACGCGAUCGAGAACUGCGCCGCCCGCCGCAAGUACCUCGCUCGCACCAAGAGCCCCUCCGACGGCGAGGACGUCCGCUGGUACUUCUGCAAGCUCCCCCUCGGGGACAGAGUGCUCUCUUCUUCAGUUCCACGGACGGAGAUAGUUGGGAAAGGAGACUAUUUCAGGUUCAGCAUGAGGGACUGUUUGGCGUUGGAGGCGUCUUUCUUAGAGAGAGAAGAAUCACUACUUGGGUACUGGUGGAGGGAGUAUGCGGAAUGCAGUGAAGGGCCAACAGGUUCCUUGGUUAAAGCUGAUAUGUCAGACUCUGAAUAUUUGUAUAAGGUGGAGGAGGAGCGGGUUGGGGUUCCUGUGAAAGGUGGACUAUAUGAGGUUGAUUUGAUGAGACGUCAUUGCUUCCCUGUAUAUUGGAAUGGUGAGAAUAGACGUGUUUUGAGAGGCCACUGGUUUGCUCGAAAAGGAGGUCUCGAUUGGAUUCCCUUGCGUGAAGAUGUUUCUGAACAACUUGAGUUAGCAUAUAAGUACCAGGUCUGGCAUCGUCGUAAAUUUCAACCUUCAGGCCUGUUUGCUGCGCGGGUCGAUCUCCAAGGAAGUACACCGGGAUUGCAUGCUCUUUUUACAGGAGAGGAUGAUACUUGGGAAGCUUGGCUUGUCUUUGAUACAGGUCCUAAACUAGGCAGCAACACAAUCAAAUUAAGGCGUGGUUUCUCUUCUUCUGGAUCUGCAAAUCCUACCCAGGAUGAGUUGCGUCAACAGAAAGAAGAGGAAACAGAUGAUUACUGCUCUCAGGUUCCAGUUGGUCAUUUGGUAUUCAUGGUUCAUGGUAUCGGACAGAGAUUGGAAAAAGCUAAUCUUGUUGAUGAUGUAGUCGAUUUCCGCCGUGUGACCGCUAACCUAGCCGAUAGAUACUUAACUCCUUAUCAAAGAAGUACACAGAGGGUCCUAUUUAUUCCCUGUCAGUGGAGGAAGAGUUUAAAGCUCGGUGGUGAAAACACAGUCGAGAAGAUCACUUUGGAUGGAGUUAAAGGUCUUCGCGUAGCGUUAGGUGCCACCGUUCAUGAUGUUCUAUAUUACAUGAGUCCUAUCUACUGUCAGCAUAUAAUUGACUCGGUCUCGGGUCAGCUGAACCAACUGUAUAUGAAGUUUCUGAAGAGAAAUCCUGGUUACAGUGGAAAGGUAUCAUUAUAUGGCCAUUCGUUGGGAAGUGUUCUAACGUAUGAUAUACUUUGCCACCAAGAAUCCCUUUCUGCCCCAUUUCCAACAGAUUAUUUUAAGAUGGAAGUUUCGUCUGAUGAAGGCCAAGUAGGAAAAGGACCCAACACAAUUGAUGUUAUUGACUCUGGUGUAAAAGAGCAUGAUACUUCUUCCACUUCAGGGCAUUCAUGUGUAGAUAAUGUAAAUCGUGUGGAUCAAGAGAGCACCAGAACUGAUCAUUCACUUACAGACAAGACUGUUCUGCCAUGUGUGCUUGAAAAUGUGCCAAACAAUGAUGAUGCACUUGAAUCACCUAUUCCAGUUGAUGGGGUGCAAACUGAAGUCGAAAAUCAGGUUGAGAAUCAUCAAAUGACAUAUACUGAAGGAGCUACUCCAGCUGUAAGCACAAAAGAUGCUGAUGAGUGCAUUUCAAGAUCCGCCAAGGAACUCCAUGUGGUCCCUGACAAAGACAGAUUAAUCUCAUCACUAGAAGAAGAGGUGAGCCAUCUUAAAGCUAAACUAGCGGAACUUGAGCGACAGAGUGAUUCAGUGAUUCAAAGCAUCAGUAGUGUUCAGUCUCAUCAAGAUAAAGAUGCUAAUGAUACAGUGAGCCUAGUAUCAGGCAAACUUAACAUAGGGCAAGGUAGCACAAGUCAGUCCUACAGACCACGUAUUAGAUACACUAAACUAAAUUUUAAGGUUGACACAUUCUUUGCUGUUGGAUCCCCUUUGGGAGUCUUCCUGUCGCUGCGGAAUGUCCGUAUUGGUGUUGGCAGGGGACAAGAUUAUUGGCAAGACAAGAACGUUGUUGAAGAGAUGCCAUGCUGCAGGCAGAUGUUCAACGUUUUUCAUCCUUUCGAUCCUGUAGCAUACAGAGUUGAACCACUUGUAUGUGAAGAUUAUGUGAACAAGCGCCCUGUUGUUAUACCCUACCAUAGAGGCGGAAAGAGGAUACAUGUUGGAGUGCAGGAGUUCACAGAAGACGUUGCUGCACGUUCUCAGGCUAUUGCCCGUCAAUUCAAGUCAUUGAAGGUCAAAGCGGUAGCUGCCUUGUUAUCACUGAGCAAAAAUGACACGGAAGAGGACGAUGAGAGCACCAAGGAGGAGGAGAGAUCAUAUGGUUCCAUGAUGAUGGAAAGGCUGACUGGUUCACCGGAUGGUCGAGUUGAUCAUGUGCUUCAGGAGAAAACAUUUCAACAUCCAUAUUUAUCCGCUCUGGGAUCUCAUACCAACUACUGGCGGGAUCAUGAUACUGCUCUCUUCAUUAUCAAACAUUUGUACCGUGAUAUACCUGAAGAACCUCCAACUGAUGGAACUGGAAGUGCACCCAUUAGACUGUUCUAUGUGAGGGAUCCAAUUGCUGAAGACACUCCCCUGACAUUUUCAGACCACUCCUCAGUUAAGGAAUUCUCCAGAAAGGUGAAAACUUACUCGAGAAAGGGGGAGGAUGAUGCAAACUGUGAAGCCUCUUGA
rnacentral:rRNA from 1 species